rnacentral:misc_RNA from 1 species
UCAAACUUGGUCAUUUAGAGGAAGUAAAAGUCGUAACAAGGUCUCCGUAGGUAAGUUUUGAAAAACCCCCCAAAAUCUUUCCAAGUCAAUGAAUUGAAUUAAUGCUAACUUGUUUUCUAAUAGGUGAACCUGCGGAGGGAUCAUUACUGAGUGAGGGCCCCGGGCCCGACCUCCAACCCAAUGUUUCUACACCUCGUUGCCUCGGGGGGUGACCCGGCUCAAGCUGGCCGGAGCCCCCCGGUGGACCAUUAAAACUCGGUUUUUGAAAUGCGUCAGUGAAAAAAGUUAAAUGAAACAAAACUUUCAACAACGGAUCUCUUGGUUCUGGCAUCGAUGAAGAACGCAGC